UUUUAUUUUCAUCUGUCUCAACCUGUCGAUCUAGAUAACCUACCAUGAUCUGGUCCAUAUUUCUCUUUUCCUUUCUACAUUACUAUUCAGGGGUCAGUUCGCAGCCAGCCUGGAUCCAGCCAACCUCCGUGUCUGUCGCUCUGGGACAAACAACAAAAUUAUCCUGCACUGUUAGCGGAAGCGUGAAUGUUAUUUCCUGGUACCAACAAAAGUCUGGGCAGAUUCCUCGCUAUGUGCACCGUUCUGGUGGAAACAGGGGUGACGGGAUCCCAGAUCGGUUCACGGCUUCUGUCUCAGGAUCCACUGGCUAUUUAGCCAUCACUGGAAUCCAGGCUGAAGACGAGGCUGGUUAUUACUGUUUCAUGUGGCAAAGCAGUGCCAACUUGUUGCAUGGUGGUACAAUCUGA